CUCUCUCUCUCUCUCUCUCUCUCUCUCUCUCUCUCUCAGCAACCCCCCACCCUCUUUCUUUCUCUCCCCCUCCCGCUCUUCCCUCCCUCUCUCCCCUCCCACUCUCUCCUUCUCCCUCCAAGUCUGGCACUGAACGAACUGUUUUGCUUUGCUCCGGGAAGAGUGUAGACACAUAACGUGAAAUCCCGAGCUUUUUUGCGUGGUGCAUUUAAAAUGCUUCCUUAUUUAUAUUACCCUCAUUCCCUCACCUCUCCCACCCCCUCAGCAGUCCUUCCAAAUUUCCCUAGAAAUCUGUGUAAAGCAUGCGGAGGGGAAAACAUUUGCACAAAAAGUGAAGGAGCUCGCCAAGGCGCGCCAACGACCGAGAGGAGACCAGAUGAGUUUUCAAGGCAGUCCUCACACACCCAGGACACAUGUCAUCCUUUGCCUCCUGCUUUCUGCAAUGUCGCUGCUCACGUUCAUCUUCCUGUUAACCCUUGCCAUAAUAUCCCCUCCUGAGCAUCACUUUUUCCGUCACCAUCCCUCAGCUCCUUCUUUGAGAUGCCUCUCCCUGGGAAAUGGCUUUGGUCUCUCUUUGGCAAGUUUCCCUAUGAGUUUUAUCCAGAUGGCUACCAUUAAUUUCCCUUCCUCCACCUCUGCCUGGUGCCAGACUAAGCCCCUGGUCAGGUCAGCCACAGCAAAUCCUACUUCUUCCAAAAUGAAGUGACAAGAUACUCUGCCACAGCAGUCACACUCAAAGAAGGGACCCCAGGUAUAUCUGAGUGUGAUGUUAUUGAGAACCGAUGGAAAGAUCAGGAAUCCCCUAGUCCCGCUCAGAUACAGUGAAAAAACUUAUUCAUGACUUUUGGGACCGAUUGAGAAGGUGGGGGCAGCGAGGAGGAGAGAGAGAGAGCCUCAGAAUUGUAUGCUCCCCAAUACAGAAUGGAAUCAUCUAGAUUUUUUUUUCUCCAAUUAAAUUUGCAUUUCAUUCUA